rnacentral:rRNA from 1 species
AUACGGAGGAUCCAAGCGUUAUCCGGAUUUAUUGGGUUUAAAGGGUGCGUAGGUGGUUUGAUAAGUCAGCGGUGAAAGUUUGCAGCUUAACUGUAAAAAUGCCGUUGAAACUGUCGGACUUGAGUGUAAAUGAGGUAGGCGGAAUGCGUGGUGUAGCGGUGAAAUGCUUAGAUAUCACGAAGAACUCCAAUUGCGAAGGCAGCUUACCGGGGUACAACUGACGCUGAGGCACGAAAGUGUGGGUAUC